rnacentral:rRNA from 1 species
CCUACGGGAGGCAGCAGUGGGGAAUCUUGCGCAAUGGGCGAAAGCCUGACGCAGCCAUGCCGCGUGAAUGAUGAAGGUCUUAGGAUUGUAAAAUUCUUUCACCGGGGACGAUAAUGACGGUACCCGGAGAAGAAGCCCCGGCUAACUUCGUGCCAGCAGCCGCGGUAAUACGAAGGGGGCUAGCGUUGCUCGGAAUUACUGGGCGUAAAGGGAGCGUAGGCGGAUAGUUUAGUCAGAGGUGAAAGCCCAGGGCUCAACCUUGGAAUUGCCUUUGAUACUGGCUAUCUUGAGUACGGAAGAGGUAUGUGGAACUCCGAGUGUAGAGGUGAAAUUCGUAGAUAUUCGGAAGAACACCAGUGGCGAAGGCGACAUACUGGUCCGUUACUGACGCUGAGGCUCGAAAGCGUGGGGAGCAAACAGGAUUAGAUACCCUGGUAGUCCACGCUGUAAACGAUGAGUGCUAGUUGUCGGCAUGCAUGCAUGUCGUGACGCAGCUACGCAUAGCACUCCGCCGUCGGGAGGUACGGUCGCGAGAUAACUACAAGAAGUAGUAGACGNGNGAGACGCGACGACGACGACGACGGAGGAGAG